rnacentral:tRNA from 1 species
UUUUUAUCAAUGGGUUUAAGAUUCAUUAGCUUUUUCAUUCUACUCUUUCAG